UUAGGAGUAUUUUCUACAUAUUGUUGUCUUCAGGCUGCAGAGAUCAUUACUAGACUCAGAGAAAUGGCUUAUGCUGCUCUUUCAUCGCUUAUGCAUACACUCCAGCAACUCUUGCUACCUAACCAACGUUUGGUUUGUGGAAGCUCUAUACAACAACAUGCUGAACUUGUUUAUCAAAGUCUGUGCUAUUCAGAUUUUCCUUGAGAAUAGUACACAGG
rnacentral:lncRNA from 1 species